rnacentral:rRNA from 1 species
GACGAACGCUGGCGGCGUGCUUAACACAUGCAAGUCGAACGGUGAAGGGGUCUGCUUUUGUGGGCCCUGGAUGAGUGGCGAACGGGUGAGUAACACGUGAGUAACCUGCCCCCUUCUUCUGGAUAACCGCAUGAAAGUGUGGCUAAUACGGGAUAUUCUGGGUCUGUCGCAUGAUGGGUCUGGGAAAGAUUGCGCCUUUGGGUGUUUUUGGUGGGGGAUGGGCUCGCGGCCUAUCAGCUUGUUGGUGGGGUGAUGGCCUACCAAGGCGGUGACGGGUAGCCGGCCUGAGAGGGUGGACGGUCACACUGGGACUGAGACACGGCCCAGACUCCUACGGGAGGAAGCAGUGGGGAAUAUUGCACAAUGGGCGCAAGCCUGAUGCAGCGACGCCGCGUGAGGGAGGGAGGCCUUCGGGUUGUAAACCUCUUUCGCCAGUGAAGCAGGCCUGCUCCGUGUGGGUGGGUUGACGGUAGCUGGAUAAGAAGCGCCGGCUAACUACGUG